rnacentral:lncRNA from 10 species
CGCAGCUUGCACAGAAGGUAUGGGAAUGGCAUUACUGCUUUAUUCUUUGCCUUGGUCUACACAGGAAUAAAGCAAAGAAGAAACUGGUGCCUAAGGUCACACUGAUAAUAGAUGAAGUGAUGGAGCAAGGAUUCAACCGCCAGCAGUUCGGUUCCUCAGCCUGGUUUUGCCAUGUUGGCCAGGCUGGUCUCGAACUCCUGACCUCAAGUGAUCUGCCUACCUCGACCUCCCAACGUACUGGGAUUACAAGUGUGAGCCACUGCACCCAGCCUUGGCAUUUUCAUUGCUAUAUAUAAGGUGUCUCAAAGGCAGCUCAAUCUCAACAUGUCCAAUACUGACAUCAUGGUCUUUCUCUCCAAAUCUGUUUCUCUUCCAGGACAGCCUGCAUCUAGGAAUGAUACUAACAUUCAGGCCAUAAACCUAAGAGUACUCCUUACUAUUUCCCUUUUCAUUGUACAUCUGAAAUGUCUUUGGAUUAGUUCAACAGAGACCAAGUAACAGCUU